GUCGCGGUAAUACGUAAAAGACGAGUGUUAUUCAUCUUUAAUCGGUUUAAAGGGUACCUAGACGGAAAAUCAAGCUUAAUUAAACUAAGGACUAGUUUUCUAGAGUUUGACAUGAGAAGGUACGAACUAUCAGAGGAGAGAUAAAAUUUGUUGAUACUGGUGGGACGGACAACGGCGAAGGCAAUCUUCUACUAAAAACUGACGUUGAGGGACGAAGCCUUGGGGAGCGAGAAGGAUUAGAUACCCUAGUAGUCCUUGGAGAAAAUUAUGAGUGCCAUAGACUAAAGUGAAAAAGAAGUUCUUUUAAAAGAACUUUGUAUCUGAGCCUUAAUUGGAUACAAAGGUCUCGAGUAGCAGUUUAUAAAUGAAAGUGUAAGCAUUCCACCUCAUGACUAAAGCGGCAACGCCCAAAUUGAAAUCAUUAGACCGUUUCUGAAACCAGUAGUGAAGUAUGUUAUUUAAUUCGAUAACCCGCGAAUAACCUUACCACGUUUUGAAUUUAUUAAACAAGUGUUGCACGGCUGUCUUCAGUUAAUGUCGUGAGAUUUUGGUUUGUUCCAUUAAUUAACGAAAACCCUUGUUUCAUUUUUAUAUGAAAUAGUUCACCGUUAUAUUGGAAAGAUAAAAGGGAUCAAGACAAGUCAUCAUGGCCUUAAUAAC
rnacentral:rRNA from 1 species